UAGGGAAUCUUCGGCAAUGGGGGCAACCCUGACCGAGCAACGCCGCGUGAGUGAAGAAGGUUUUUCGGAUCGUAAAGCUCUGUUGUAAGAGAAGAACGUGUGUGAGGGUGGAAAGUUCACACAGUGACGGUAACUUACCAGAAAGGGACGGCUAACUACGUGCUAG
rnacentral:rRNA from 1 species